AUGAACGCUGGCGGCGUGCCUAAUACAUGCAAGUCGAGCGAACAGAUGAGGAGCUUGCUCCUCUGACGUUAGCGGCGGACGGGUGAGUAACACGUGGAUAACCUACCUAUAAGACUGGGAUAACUUCGGGAAACCGGAGCUAAUACCGGAUAAUAUAUUGAACCGCAUGGUUCAAUAGUGAAAGACGGUUUUGCUGUCACUUAUAGAUGGAUCCGCGCCGCAUUAGCUAGUUGGUAAGGUAACGGCUUACCAAGGCAACGAUGCGUAGCCGACCUGAGAGGGUGAUCGGCCACAAUGGAACUGAGACACGGUCCAGACUCCUACGGGAGGCAGCAGUAGGGAAUCUUCCGCAAUGGGCGAAAGCCUGACGGAGCAACGCCGCGUGAGUGAUGAAGGUCUUCGGAUCGUAAAACUCUGUUAUUAGGGAAGAACAAAUGUGUAAGUAACUAUGCACGUCUUGACGGUACCUAAUCAGAAAGCCACGGCUAACUACGUG
rnacentral:rRNA from 1 species